rfam:Acyrthosiphon pisum strain LSR1 Contig4025, whole genome shotgun sequence.
AUAGCGUAUAUUAAAGUUGUUGCGGUUAAAAAGCUCGUAGUCGGAUCUGUGUCUGGACGGUGCCGGACCACCCUGGCGGUCCGUCGUGUCGCGGCCGGCCGUGUCGCGGGACCACGUGUCCCGUCGGCGCGGUCGCCGUCGCGCUCGUCAGCCGUCUCGGGGUGUUAGUUACCGGCACGUCGGCCGGACGUAUUGUCGGCAGGCGGACACGUGUCUCGUGCUUCCGGCGCGCCGCGCGGCCACGCGUCGCGCGGCCGUCGGUGUUCGACGACGGCGGCCGCCUACUCCAAUCUUGCUGCGCGGUGCUCUUCACCGAGUGCCGUCGGCGGGCCGACACGUUUACUUUGAACAAAUUAGAGUGCUCAAAGCAGGCUCGAAUCUGGCGGGGCGGCUUCACGGCCGUCUCGUCAAAAGGCCCUGAAUACUGGUCGCAUGGAAUAAUGGAACAAGACCUCGGUCCCGCGCAUCUCCGCCCUUCGCGGGCGCGCGAAAUCGCCCUCCGGGGCGUUUCCGUGCGCGGGCCGCCGGGCCGCGGGCGCCAGUCGCCCGCGCGUCCCGCCGGGCCGGUUUUCGGGACCGGAGGUAAUGAUCAACAGAGACGGGCGGGGGCAUUCGUACCGAGACGUUAGAGGUGAAAUUCUUGGAUCGUCUCGAGACGAACUGACGCGAAAGCAUUUGCCAAGUACGUUCUCGUAUGAUCAAGAACGAAAGUUAGAGGUUCGAAGGCGAUCAGAUACCGCCCUAGUUCUAACUGUAAACGAUGCCAGCUAGCGAUCCGCCGGCGUUUCAUUAACGACCCGGCGGGCAGCUUCCGGGAAACCGAAGCUUUUCGGUUCCGGGGGAAGUAUGAUUGCAAAGUUGAAACUUAAAGGAAUUGACGGAAGGGCACCACCAGGAGUGGAGCCUGCGGCUUAAUUUGACUCAACACGGGAAACCUCACCAGGCCCGGACACCGGAAAGAUUGACAGAUUGAGAGCUCUUUCUUGAUUCGGUGGGUGGUGGUGCAUGGCCGUUCUUAGUUGGUGGAGCGAUCUGUCUGGUUAAUUCCGAUAACGAACGAGACUCUGUCCUGCUAACUAGGCGGGUAAACCCGGGUCGGCGUGUGCGCGGCGCUGGCGGUUUCGGCCGUCAGUGUUCGCGUACCCGUCGGCUCGGCCCGGUAUCCCCGAACGCGUUCGCCCGUCGUCCACGGCGGUCGUCGGGCGCGGCCGCGCCAUCCGCGUCCCGGCGUUCGGCGGGCGUAUGUCGGCCGGGGGGCAACCUCCGGUCGGCCUGCGUCCGUCGUGCGUCGGGCUCCGUGGUGAAGCGCGCCGUGUUCGCGGCCGUCGCCGGCGGAUCACGAUACGUUACUAGGGCUACCGCCGGCUCCCAGGAGCUUAAACUCUUCUUAGAGGGACAGGCGGCGGACGAACAUAGCCGCACGAGACUGAGCGAUAACAGGUCUGUGAUGCCCUUAGAUGUUCUGGGCCGCACGCGCGCUACACUGAAAGGAAUCAGCGUGUUUAACAAUCCUGGGCCGACAGGCUUCCGGGUAACCCGCUGAACCUCCUUCGUGCUUAGGGAUCGUGGCUUGCAAUUUUUCCACGUGAACGAGGAAUUCCCAGUAAGCGCGAGUCAUCAGCUCGCGUUGAUUACGUCCCUGCCCUUUGUACACACCGCCCGUCGCUACUACCGAUUGAACGGUCGCAUUGAGGUCUUCGGAGUGGAAGGCGCCGUUAUUCGGCCCCC